GUAGGUGGCAAGCGUUGUCCGGAUUUACUGGGGGGGCGUAAAGGGGCGUGUAGGGCGGGUUCGUUAAGUCCGGGUGUGAGAUCUACCCCGGCUCAACUGGGAGGGGGUCAUCGGAUACUGGCGGACUAGAGGAGGGCAGAGGAAGGCGGAAUUCCCGGUGUAGCGGUGAUAUGCGUAGAUAUCGGGAGGAACACCAGUGGCGAAGGCGGCCUUCUGGGCCCAUCCUGACGCUGAGGCGCGAAAGCGUGGGGAGCAAACCGGAUUAGAUACCCGGGUAGUCCACGACCUAAACGUUGGACACUAGGUGUGGGGGGUGGUCGACCCCCUCCUGUGCCGUAGCUAACGCUUUAAGUGUCCCGCCUGGGGAGUACGGCCGCAAGGCUA
rnacentral:rRNA from 1 species